rnacentral:rRNA from 1 species
AUUGAACGCUGGCGGCAUGCUUUACACAUGCAAGUCGAACGGUAACAGGGAGCUUGCUCCGCUGACGAGUGGCGAACGGGUGAGUAAUGCAUCGGAACGUACCCAGUCGUGGGGGAUAACGUAGCGAAAGUUACGCUAAUACCGCAUACGUCCUGAGGGAGAAAGCGGGGGACCGAAAGGCCUCGCGCGAUUGGAGCGGCCGAUGUCGGAUUAGCUAGUUGGUGGGGUAAAGGCCUACCAAGGCGACGAUCCGUAGCGGGUCUGAGAGGAUGAUCCGCCACACUGGGACUGAGACACGGCCCAGACUCCUACGGGAGGCAGCAGUGGGGAAUUUUGGACAAUGGGGGCAACCCUGAUCCAGCCAUGCCGCGUGAGUGAAGAAGG